GAUGAAGAACGCAGCGAAAUGCGAUAAGUAGUGUGAAUUGCAGAAUUCAGUGAAUCAUCGAAUCUUUGAACGCACAUUGCGCCCCUUGGUAUCCCGAGGGGCAUGCCUGUUCGAGCGUCAUUUCACCACUCAAGCCUGGCUUGGUGUUGGGCGACGUCCCCUUUAGGGACGCGCCUCGAAACGCUCGGCGGCGCGGCACCGGCUUUAAGCGUAGCAGAAUCUUUCGCUUUGGAAGUCGGGGCCCCGCCUGCCGGAAUACCUAUUUGUAAGGUUGACCUCGGAUCAGGCAGGGAUACCCGCUGAACUUAAGCAUAUCAAUAAGCGGAGGA
rnacentral:misc_RNA from 1 species